rnacentral:rRNA from 1 species
GACGAACGCUGGCGGCGUGCUUAACACAUGCAAGUCGAACGGACAGACAGAGAGCUUGCUCUCUUGAAGUUAGUGGCGAACGGGUGAGUAACGCGUAAUCAACCUGCCCUUCAGAGGGGGAUAACAACGGGAAACCGUUGCUAAUACCGCGUACGAUUCAUGAACGGCAUCGUUUAUGAAUGAAAGGUGGCCUCUAUGUAUAAGCUAUCGCUGAAGGAGGGGAUUGCGUCUGAUUAGCUAGUUGGAGGGGUAACGGCCCACCAAGGCAAUGAUCAGUAGCCGGUCUGGGAGGAUGAACGGCCACAUUGGGACUGAGACACGGCCCAAACUCCUACGGGAGGCAGCAGUGGGGAAUCUUCCGCAAUGGACGAAGGUCUGACGGAGCAACGCCGCGUGAGUGAUGAAGGUCUUCGGAUUGUAAAGCUCUGUUAAUCGGGACGAAAGAGUUCUGCGUGAAUAAUGCAGAAAAGUGACGGUACCGGAAUAGAAAGCCACGGCUAACUACGUGCCAGCAGCCGCCGUAA